AAAGUAAGCAUUACUCAACAAAAGCUAUUAGUACUGUUCUAGUUGUAUGAGAAAAGGGGAGAUGUCUGUACCUUUAAGCUAAAGAGCUAAGAUAGAGAAGGAGUAAGGAGAUAGAAAGCCAGCUUGCUCAGUAUAGCACUCUAUAAACCACAGCUUAUCCAAGAGCCAGUCAUGUACUGGAUGUUCACAGAAUAUCUGAAUUGUGAAACACAAAACAAUAUUAGUAGCCACAAUAAGCUAUCAGUAAAUAAAAUAAGCCACCAGUUUACUGUGACUACGUAGUUUAUCUGAACAGAAAGCCUAUGAAGAUUAGGACAAAGUAUCAUUUUAAAAGUAGACUUGAAAAACUUGUUAGUUGUGCUUAUUUUUGUAAAUUACUGAGUUAGAUUUAGCCCUAUCAGAAAGAGGAAGUAAGAGAAGCAACAGUUAUCUACAUAUCAACUCUGUGAACCAGAAACAGAUAAAGAGCAAUAAGGAAGGAAAAGGAAAUCAUACAGUAAACACUUGUUAAUCCAGGGGCACAGUUGGUCUGUCUAGGCCUUGGGUCAGACCAGCUCUAAUAAAGCUACAAAAUGUAUGAAAGCUACAAAACGUAUGAAUUACUUGUAAAGUAAUUCUAUAUAUAUUUAAAUUUUCUGGUAUUAUCAGCUACCACUUAAAAUGAAACAAUUUAAUAUUAAAUUUUAUGAUGAAACAUGAUGAAUUUGAACUCUCCAGUAGAAACCUGAUCUACAAUAUACCAAAUGUUAAUAACUAUCCUGUAAUUCAUACUUCACAGUGUAUUAAAGGGAACAUAGUUUAACAGAUGAUUUUUAACUUAACCUCUUACACGAAAAUUUAAGAUCUAGUAAAGAAAAUUAAGAAAACUAGAAUUUAGAUAAAUGUAAACAAUAACAUUUUCAAAAUAUUCUCAAUUUGAGACUAUGACUAUGAAAAGAUUUAUUUUUGGGGAAUGUGAAAAUUCUACUGACCUGCUUAUACACACCCCUGGGGUCUUGGUUUACAAAUUACCUCCUCUAGAAUCUGAUGUCCUGUGCUUAACUUUGUCAUAAUAAUCGUCACACUACCUUGUAACUAGUUUGUUUGUUUUUUUGUCUUGUCUUUUUUAGGCCUGCACCCACAGCAUAUGGAAGUUACUAGGCUAGGAGUGCAACUGGAGCUGUAGCCGUCAGCCCAUGCCACAGCCACAGCAAUGUGGGAUCCGAGCCACAUCUGCAACCUACACCACAGCUUAUGGUAACGCCAGAUCCUUGACGCACUGAGCAAGGCUGGAAUCGAACCUGCAUCCUCAUGAAUACUAGUCGGGUUCCUUAACCGCUAAGCCAUACAGGAACUUUCAUGAUUGUCUUUAAUAUAAGACUGUAAACAUAGAGAUGAGGUUUUGUCUUAUUCACCCUUAUAUCAAUACUCUCUAGUACAGUACCUAAUAAACAAAUAGUAGGUAUGGGUUAAACAUUGGUUAAAGGAAUGUUGAAUGAAUUGUGUUAAAAUCUAUUCUUCAUGAUUAAGAAAAUUCACAAUCCAUUAAAAGAUCAAGGAUUACAUCCAUAUAUAAAUUAUUUCUCAACCUUUAAAGGACUAACCUUCCUAUCUCUUUUCAUUUACUUUUCGCUCCUACUUUUCCUUUUAAUCAGUUCAAAACCAAAUGAUAAGAAUCUGAGUCUCAAAUGUUUACAACAUAUGAGAAAGCCUCGUUAGUUUGGCCCAUGUGGACAGGAGUGAGUGGUCCAAAUUUGCUCUUCAGCAAACACCUGGAAUGGUAGAAGUUGAGAGACAGAGUUCCCAGUAAGAGUUCUACAGUUCCUAACCAACUGUGUAUUUCUUUUAGCUCUAUAAGAGGCUGGCUCUGGUUAUUAUUCCUGAGACAGAUCCAUCCAUUAUUUUAUUCUUUUGUAGAAUUCAUUACAUUUGAAUUAUUCAUGCAUUUAUUGGUUUACGUGUUUAUUCUCUCAUUCCCUUACUAGGAUGUGCACUCCAUAGAGGCAACAUUAUUUUGUUCAACACUCUAUAUCCAGAGUCUGCUUUAGUGCCUGACACACAAUAAACACCCAAUAAGUAUUGGUCAGAUGUAUAAAUAUGAGGUUUGGAGCAGCAGCUUUCAAUCAAAAGACUGUAAAAUUAGGUAGGUAACAGCUACCCCUACUGUUGUUUUCUCUAAAUGCCAGGACUAGGUGCUAUAGGUACUCUUUUAUUGUAAAUGUCAUUCAAUCAAUGGCAAGUCAGAAAAAUUUCAAAAGCAAUACUAGGUAGGUUGGAGGUACAAUAUCUAAGAGAAGCAAUGGAAAUAUAAUGAGAAUAGCAACUACUUCCAAUUAGAAGUUUAGGGUUUAAAUUCCAGCUUAAUAAGUGUGUAUCAUAGGGGAACUUAUAUAUAAUCUCCCUAAAUACUCAGUUUCAUCUUAUUUAAAAUGGGGGGCUUAUAUCUAACAUGCAGAGUUUUUAAUGGUGACUUAAUGAGAUUGUAUAUAUGAAAGCAACUGCUAGUAUAAUUCAUGGCAUUUAGGAGAAGGGGCUUACUACAAAUUAAGUUCCUUUGUUUUGGUUUGCCAGGGUCUGCAGCAAAAUAGGGAUGUGAUUUGACUAGAAGCCCAGGAGCAGACAUUUUGGAUAGAGAGAAAUGGAAGAGAAAAGAUUCAAAUGCAAAAAAAAAAUAAAAAAAUAAAAAUAAAUAAAAUAAAAUAAAUAAAUUACGUUGGUGAGAAGGACAAUAAGUGAAAAAAAAAAAAAGGCAUAAGAUAGACCAGUAGGAACAUAAAAGCAGUUAGAAAUGGAAAGAGAUUUAACAUGAUAUAAAAAUUGCCAAGAAAAAAUCUAUUGGCUUUUUCUUAGAUGAUACAACCUUCCCCACAUAUAAAUAAAAUAAUUGCUACUAUUACAGUUAUGAGAGAAAUCAACUGAAAUGUACAUUAAACACAUAUUAGGGAUUUAAUAUUCUUCACAUGAUUUCACAAGCUGGAAACUCAGUCUGUGUAAAUAUAGCCAUGAACUUUAUUAUUUACUUGGAAAAAGUAAUAGCAUAUCCUCCACUGUGUACUACCUACAGAGUUAGGAAAGGCAAAUGUGUACUAGCUCUUUAGGUCUGGUCAAAAGGCAUCAGAAUGUAGAGUUAGGCCUUUGCAUUUUGUGAUUAUCAGACAGUGGCUACCAAAAUUGAAAGAGAAACUAGCAAUCAUGAAAAGUUUAUUGGAAAUUCUUUUUCAUAUUUAGAUGCUUUCAUUUGCUUACUACUUUAGUCAAAACUGAGGUAUCAGCACCCUCAUAAAAAUUGUUUUCUCACUAAAUUGUUUUCUUUCUAGUAUGUGUGUGUAUAUACCUUUGAGUGUGUGUGUGUGCAUGUAGGUGUGUUUAUUCUUUGGUCUGUUUUUAGAUAAAGAAAGAGAAUAAGAAGUCUUUGGUGCAUUGCACACCAAAAGUAAUCAUCAUGCCACCUCAAGAAAUGUCCUCUAGGCACCAGUAAGUUCAUUAAAAGGGUUCAUUUGAAUUCAUAGCUUUUGUCCACUUGUGAUGAACUGCUUUUUAAAUAGCCUAUCUAUGCACAUCUUCAGGAGGGCUAGAAGCUUGUCUAUUUUUCCUCCCUUUGUAUUAUCACCACCUAGUUUAGGACAGGCACACAGUAGCUAUUGAAUAUUUCAUUUGUUAUUAAAGAAGCAUUUAUUGAGUAUUUACUGUGUCAGCUUGUUCUAGCUGAUGAAAAUAUAAGAAUGAAAAAACAGAUAAAAAUUCUGAUCUCAUAAAGAUUAUGUUUUUGUGUAGAGAGUUGACAAUAAGCAAGAAAAAUAAGUUGAAUAUGUAGAAUGAUAGACAAUAGUCCAUGCUAAGGACCUAAAACAAAGCAAGAAAGGAAGAAAUAAAUGCUAGAAUGGGGGAAUUGUGUUGAAAUUUUAGAUAGAGUGACCAGUGAUGAUAUCAUUGAAAGAUCACAUUCAGGUAAAGACAUAAAAUAAAUAUGGAAAUGAGUUAGGAAGAUAUCCUUGGAGAAAAGGCAUUCAAGCUAAAGGAAUGGUAAAAAGGUCCCUUGGGAGGAGUGUGGGUCUCUGUUUUCCUUAAAAUGCUAGGCUAGUUUCACACACAAAUCUUGCUGUUAAAACAUAGAGAUACCACAUUUAAAAGAGAAAACAGACAAACAUAUACACAAACAAAACUCUUAAAAUGUUCGCUCUUAUAAGAAGGAAAUUAGAAUUCCAAAAAGAUAGGAAUGUGAAAGACAGGGCAUUUGGCAUUAUUAUGAUGCUAUCACAACACCUCAGAGAUAUUAUCUGACUCAAUAAUAAUCAGGAAACCUCAGGGACACAAAACAGUUGAGAACACAGAGAAUGGCAACCAGGUAAUAUGUUCAGACUACUUAGGAAAAGAAAAAAAACACCCUAGCAGUACACCUUCAACAACUCAGGUUAUAUGGGAUGGUCAAAGGAAAAGCAAACUCCAGUGAAGAAGAGCUCACAUAUCAAAAAAAUAUCAAACACAUAAAGCAUGGCUUUUCCAUACAUGAAUCAGCAGACACAAAAGUAAUUUAUAUCAAACAUAAGCAUUAAGUCAGAAUACUGAAUAGGGAUUAUACAGUCUUUGGAACUGAAAUAAUAAAAUAUUAAUCUCAGAGUUCAGUGGGACAAAAUGUUUACAAUGAUAAAGUUUUAUUUAUUUUAUUUUAUUUUUUUUUUUUUACUUUUGUCUUUUUGCUAUUUCUUUGGGCCCCUCCCGUGGCAUAUGGAGCAGCCCUAAAAAGACAAAAAAAAAAAAAAAAAUUAAAAAAUUAAAAAAAAAAAAAAACAGGCAUGUUGUUGAGGAGAGACCCAGCUAAAAUACAAUAUUUGAAAAUGAAAUAAUGAUAAAAAUUAUGGUAGCUAUAUUAAUAUCUAAUAACUUACAUUUUAAGUAAAAGCAUUACUAAAGAAAAAGAUGGACAUUAAACAAUAAAACAGAUCUUCCAAAAGAUACAAUAAAUUGUUCCUCUAAGCAUCUAACAGUAUAGACAUGAA
rnacentral:lncRNA from 1 species